UCCUUGUAGCUCAGUUGGUAAAGAAUCUGCCUGCAGUGCAGGAGACCCAGGCUCGAUUCCUGGACCAGGAA
rnacentral:tRNA from 1 species